GGAACUCAUAUGACUGUUUUACAUUCUUCACCCCCAUGCAACUAUUAUUACAGUUAAUGAACAAACAAUAAAUGGAUACAACUCUACAAUGGCCGUCUGAUUCAAAAAUUACAGAGAAAAAAAAAAUAAUUAAAAAAUCUAUUCUACACUCUCCCUGAAAUUGCACUGCUACACAAAAAAUAUCUACCUUGCCAACACCUUCUUGGUGAUUACAACACCUGUGUAGUAUCAUUAUGGCAAUCCUGCAAUUCUCUACUCUCGAACUGAAUCGCCAUUUGUAUCCUUCUGCUCUGUGACCUCAUUGGACGAUUUGCCAUUGUUUGCCUCCUCAACAUUUGUGGGUUUCGCUUGCUUGUUUCGGUCACGCCAACCAAGUCCAAAUGGUCGAGCUAGCAAACCAAUCUUUCUUGUAGGAAUGUCUUGUGCAGGCUCUUGAUUGAUUCGUGGUGAAUCUGGAUUAGAAGAUCGUGGUGAAGGUUGUGCUUUAAGCUGUCCAGAUUGAUACUGUAACGUAGCCUCCAACAUUGAUUCUGCCAUAACUGCUCUUUUCUCCAUUUCAGCCAAAGAUGCAAUGGCUUCUUCAUACUUUUCCUGAAGAACUUGAGAAGCAUAUCUCUGUGCUGCUGCAUCUUGCUCGGCAAAUCUGCGAGCAUCUUCUGUUACCUUCUGCUCUUGCUCCACCCUCAUUAAAACCUGAAGCAUAGCAUUUUCUUGUUCCUGCUUAUCAGCAAGGGCCCUCCGCAGCUCAGAAACCUCCUGCUCUAACUGUUCAACCCUAGCACUCAAUUGCCGCCGAUUGUCUUGCUUGACCAUCUCCAUCAAAGCAGUCUCCAACUCUUCUGCCCUGAGUACAGCAGAUCUUUUCUCCUCUAGCAACUUGCACAAUUCGACCUUCAACCACACCACCUGAUCUUGAAGAUCUGGAACACUGUCUAUCUCUACGUCCCCUGUCAAGCUUAUAAGAACCUCAUCUGAGUUGGUGGAUCCAGACCCUGAACGAGAUAAAUCACCACCAGACUGCUUAUUUGUUUCUACUAGCAUUGACUUGGGAUCAUGCUUGAAAUUAUAGAGCUUCAAUGCCAGACCCUGCGAAUCUCUCCAUGCUUGAAGCCCUUUUUUUCUUUCCUCAACUGCAGUUAUAACAGCAGCUCGAUGCUUAUUUCUCAACUCUUGUAAUC
rnacentral:misc_RNA from 1 species